UACAGAGGGUGCAAGCGUUAAUCGGAGUUACUGGGCGUAAAGGGCGCGUAGGCGGUUUAAUAAGAUUGAUGUGAAAUCCCUGGGCUUAACCUAGGAACUGCAUCGAUGACUGUUAAGCUAGAGUAUUGUAGAGGGUAGUGGAAUUUCCGGUGUAGCGGUGAAAUGCGUAGAGAUCGGAAAGGAACACCAGUGGCGAAGGCGGCUACCUGGACAAAUACUGACGCUGAGGCGCGAAAGCGUGGGGAUCAAACAGG
rnacentral:rRNA from 1 species